ensembl:lincRNA
GUUUGUGUAAUUGUGAAUGGUCCAUGAUGUGUGUGUGAGGGAGGGAUGGAGCGCCAGCGCUGUGUGUUGGAGGAUUGAUUCACUCUCAGCUUCACACAGGAGGAAGGCUCAUCAGAGUGUGUGUGAUAACUCAGAUCAGUCAUGGAUCAGAAGUCCACUUCUCCUCAGAGGCAGGCAGUGAAGAGCAGGUCAAAGUCUACAGAUGAAGUCCAGCAGGCUAAAAAGGCCUUCCACAUUACCCAGAAGUCUCUGCCUGGAGGAUCAGAGCUGGAGAAGGUGAAGGAGGGAGCAGAAGACACCGUGACUCCUGCAUCCUCCACAGAAGAGCUGAAGUGAUGCUGAUGUUCAUCUGUGCUUCUCUCUCUCUCUCACACACACACACACACACAUUAGUUUUUAAAAGCAAGGUUGGUUUUCUCAUGGUUUACAUGUUUUAAAACCUUCAUAACCGCGUUCGUGUUUUACUGUCAUGCUGUUAAAAAAUAAAAUGCUAAAAUAAACACAUGCCAAAGUUGGCCAUCUAUAAUCCCUAAUAAUAGCUCCUGUACAGCAGUCUCGCAACACACCGUCACUCAAUGACACUCCAACACCCUGUCAGAAAAGUCUAGUGACUGUGAUGGAGUUUUUACAGUGUCUGCUAUAUCGUUAAUGCACAUUGAUGAAUAUGGCCACUGCAAAGGCACAGUUCAGAUCGUUAUGAGAAUAUAAUAUAUGCCUUCAGUGAUUUCCUGAAGAUAAACACCAAAAUAACGCUGCUGGAAUCACUACGCCAGCCGUGAUGAAUGGUCUGAUCUCAUAUGAAUUAAGAGAUGGCGAUGACGUGUGCAGGGGCUGUAGUGCUGUUCUAUUUUUUAGGGGUAAAUCUUGAAGCCAUUCACACUCGGUUUCAAGGGUAAGGGGUAGGGCUACAUAAAACGAAUUGGGAUUGGGCCUUAUUUUUCUGUUAUUUGUCAUUUCAAUUUUAAAACUAUACAUUUAACGAAAUAUUAUAUAUAUAUAUAUAUAUAUAUAUAUAUAUAGCUGAAGUCAGAAUUAUUAGCCCCCUUUUAAUUUUUUUUCUUUUUUAAAAAUUUCCCAAACGAUGAUUGACAGAGCAAGGAAAUUUUCACAGUAUGUCUGAUAAUAUUUUUUCUUCUAGAAAAAGUCUUAUUUGUUUUAUUUUGGCUAGAAUAAAAGCAGUUUUGAAUUUUUUAAAACUAUUUUUGGGACUAAAUUAUUUGCCUAGUUCACCUUAAUAACCUAGUGAAGCCUUUAAAUGUCACUUUAAGCUGUAUAUUAGUGUCUUGAAAAAUAUCAAGUAAAAUAUUAUUUACUGUCAUCAUGACAAAGAUAAAUUAAAUCAGUUAUUAGAAAUAGGUUUUUAAAACUAUUAUGCUUAGAAAUGUGCUGAAACAAUCUUCCCUCCAUUAAACAGACAUUGGGAAAAAAAAAAAAAUAAACAGGGGCGCUAAUAAUUAAGGGGGGCUAAUAAUUCUCACUUCAACCAUAUAUAUAAGUUUAAAUAUCUGUGUAAGAUUUGUAUUUUUGUUUUUAUGUACGUGUCUACAUAGAAUAAACGUAUGUAUCUCAUGUCGAAACAA